GAUCCUGGUUAUAAUAUAUUCAAUUUUUCUAGCCUCUCUUUGCUGUUCCCUUAACUGCGGUGAUUAAUACAUCUAUACUAUAUUAAGAGCAUGAGUUUGAAUUAGCGAGUUUGGUGCAUUAGAUUUCAUGUACCGGUAAUGCCCUCAUUAUGUAAUUUAAUAACUAUACUAUACCAACAUGUUAGGUCACCAAAGCUUAAUUCUUUCUUCAGUAUUGUUGAGGCUAAAAUUGUACUUAGAAAUAUAGUCUUAAUUGAAAAAACUUUCUUAGUUUUCUUAAGGAAUAAAGUUUCAAUGGGCGAGAUUUUGAGAAUUUUAUGGCAAUGGUUUGGAAACUAAAGAAAAAUAGAAAAGGAAAUUUCUUAUUAAACUUAAUGCUAAAGAAAGAUCUUUUGGUGUAGUUCUUGAAAACUAUGAAUUGUCGGGAAUUUCCGGUGAACGUUUAGGAAAAGAGGUUUCUUACUUCGUAAAGCUUUUGGAAAGUAGAAAAAGGAGCUAAAGAAUAACAGAAAAGGGAAUUUCUUAUUAGACAUGAAUGCCAAAGAUCUUUUGGCGUAGUUCUUGAAAAUCGUUCUGGUUAACAUUUAGGCAAAGAAUUUUCAUAUUUCGUAACGUUUUUGGAAAUAAAAAUUCAUGGACCACAAAAUAGUGACAAGUAUAGCCAAAAGAUAAUGCAUACGCAGUUCAUUUUUCACUUUAUUUCUUUGCCUUUGAUUGGAUAUCUUAAGAAUUUAUCUUUGGAUAUCAUAAGAAAAUGUUGUAUGGAUUGGGACAAAAAAAUUUUCCAGCAUCAAAACUGGCAUAAAACUUUUUUUUUUUUUUUUGUAAUGCGUAGUUACAAAAAUUCAUAGCAUUAGCUUUGACCAAGAUAUUACAAAGUUUUCAAAACUACCUUCGAUCUGUAGUUAGGAAUAAGCUAAUGUUUUCAUAGAUUUAGCUUCUCUGGAUGCUGUUCAUUUGUCUUUUGCCUCAACCUUAGUUUUUGUGUUUUAUUAUUACUACUACUACAAUUAUUAUUAUUAUUAUUAUUAUUUAAGCAGGGGAGGGUUGAUUUUUGAGAAGCAUGGAGGAAAUGAGGGAUUUGACCCCAGGACCUCUAAUUUUGGGGUCUCAACCAUAAGUAUUAAACCAAAACCUCCUCACACCUGCGUCAGCCGUAGUUAAGAAAUAAUACACGGAAAAAAAAAA
rnacentral:lncRNA from 1 species